UUUAGAAUUUAUGAAUUACAGUAUGAUUCAAGUAUCCUCAGAACAUGAAUUGUUCAAAAUGCAAACCAUUCCAACACUCCUAAGUUUCUUUCUACAGGUCAUUUUGUUUGUUGGGUAUAGAAGGAUGAAGAGAGAAAGGUGCAGUUCUGUGUUUGAGGCUCUUUANAUCUCCUGAAUGAAUGAUUCUCUCGCACUUUAGCCGCUCGGCCCAUUUCCGAUGAUCCGCUACAUCAUCACUGUUUGAUGACAGGUUAGAUAGACAAUAUUCAAUCUCCCAAAU
rnacentral:lncRNA from 1 species